rnacentral:rRNA from 1 species
GACGAACGUUGGCGGCGUGCUUAAUACAUGCAAGUCAACUGAAGCAGUGGUAGCAAUAUCGCUGUGGAGGUGGCGCACGGGUGAGUAACACGUAGGUAAUCUGCCUUCAGGUCUGGCAUAACUCCGGGAAACCGGGGCUAAUAGCAGAUGAUGCAGCGGCUCGACAUCGAGACAGUUGUUAAAGCUAUGGCGCCUGAAGAUGAGCCUGCGUCUGAUUAGCUAGUUGGCGGGGUAACGGCCCACCAAGGCAACGAUCAGUAGCUGGUCUGAGAGGAUGAUCAGCCACACUGGAACUGAGACACGGUCCAGACUCCGACGGGAGGCAGCAGUAAGGAAUAUUGCUCAAUGGGAGAAAUCCUGAAGCAGCAACGCCGCGGGAGGGACGAAGGGCUUUUGCUUGUAAACCUCUGUAGUGAGAGAAAAAAAUCCCAAUCUUUGGGACAUGAUGGUAUCUCAAAAGUAAGCCCCGGCUAACUACGUG